GCAGGCUUAACACAUGCAAGUCGAGCGCCCCGCAAGGGGAGCGGCAGACGGGUGAGUAACGCGUGGGAAUCUACCCAUCACUACGGAACAACUCCGGGAAACUGGAGCUAAUACCGUAUACGUCCUUCGGGAGAAAGAUUUAUCGGUGAUGGAUGAGCCCGCGUUGGAUUAGCUAGUUGGUGGGGUAAUGGCCUACCAAGGCGACGAUCCAUAGCUGGUCUGAGAGGAUGAUCAGCCACACUGGGACUGAGACACGGCCCAGACUCCUACGGGAGGCAGCAGUGGGGAAUAUUGGACAAUGGGCGCAAGCCUGAUCCAGCCAUGCCGCGUGAGUGAUGAAGGCCCUAGGGUUGUAAAGCUCUUUCAACGGUG
rnacentral:rRNA from 1 species